rnacentral:rRNA from 1 species
GACGAACGCUGGCGGCGUGCCUAAUACAUGCAAGUAGAACGCUGAAGGAGGAGCUUGCUUCUCUGGAUGAGUUGCGAACGGGUGAGUAACGCGUAGGUAACCUGCCUGGUAGCUGGGGAUAACUAUUGGAAACGAUAGCUAAUACCGCAUAAGAGUAGAUGUUGCAUGACAUUUGCUUAAAAGGUGCAAUUGCAUCACUACCAGAUGGACCUGCGUGGUAUUAGCUAGUUGGUGGGGUAACGGCUUACCAAGGCGACGAUACAUAGCCGACCUGAGAGGGGGAUCGGCCACAAUGGGACUGAGACACGGCCCAGACUCCUACGGGAGGCAGCAGUAGGGAAUCUUCGGCAAUGGACGGAAGUCUGACCGAGCAACGCCGCGUGAGUGAAGAAGGGUGUCGGAUCGUAAAGCUCUGUUGUAAGAGAAGAAAGAGUGUGAGAGUGGAAAGUUCACACUGUGACGGUAUCUUACCAGAAAGGGACGGCUAACUACGUG